CCUACGGGAGGCAGCAGUGAGGAAUAUUGGUCAAUGGACGAGAGUCUGAACCAGCCAAGUAGCGUGAAGGAUGGCUGCCCUAUGGGUUGUAAACUUCUUUUAUAUGGGAAUAAAAUGUUCCACGUGUGGGAUUUUGUAUGUACCAUAUGAAUAAGGAUCGGCUAACUCCGUGCCAGCAGCCGCGGUAAUACGGCGGAUCCGAGCGUUAUCCGGAUUUAGUGGGUUUAAAGGGAGCGUAGGUGGAUUGUUAAGUCAGUUGUGAAAGUUUGCGGCUCAACCGUAAAAUUGCAGUUGAAACUGGCAGUCUUGAGUACAGUAGAGGUGGGCGGAAUUCGUGGUGUAGCGGUGAAAUGCUUAGAUAUCACGAAGAACUCCGAUUGCGAAGGCAGCUCACUGGACUGCAACUGACACUGAGGCUCGAAAGUGUGGGUAUCAAACAGGAUUAGAUACCCCUGUAGUC
rnacentral:rRNA from 1 species